CGGCGUGCUUAACACAUGCAAGUCGAACGAAGCACUUGAUUUGAUUUUCUUCGGAAUUGAAGAUCUUGUGACUGAGUGGCGGACGGGUGAGUAACGCGUGGGCAACCUGCCUUGUACAGGGGGAUAACAGUUAGAAAUGACUGCUAAUACCGCAUAAGACCACAGCACCACAUGGUGCAGGGGUAAAAACUGAGGUGGUACAAGAUGGGCCCGCGUCUGAUUAGCUAGUUGGUGAGGUAACGGCUCACCAAGGCGACGAUCAGUAGCCGACCUGAGAGGGUGACCGGCCACAUUGGGACUGAGACACGGCCCAAACUCCUACGGGAGGCAGCAGUGGGGAAUAUUGCACAAUGGGGGAAACCCUGAUGCAGCGACGCCGCGUGAGUGAAGAAGUAUCUCGGUAUGUAAAGCUCUAUCAGCAGGGAAGAAAAUGACGGUACCUGACUAAGAAGCCCCGGCUAACUACGUGCCAGCAGCCGCGGUAAUACGUAGGGGGCAAGCGUUAUCCGGAAUUACUGGGUGUAAAGGGUGCGUAGGUGGUAUGGCAAGUCAGAAGUGAAAACCCAGGGCUUAACUCUGGGACUGCUUUUGAAACUGUCAGACUAGAGUGCAGGAGAGGUAAGCGGAAUUCCUAGUGUAGCGGUGAAAUGCGUAGAUAUUAGGAGGAACAUCAGUGGCGAAGGCGGCUUACUGGACUGAAACUGACACUGAGGC
rnacentral:rRNA from 1 species